GAUGAACGCUGGCGGCGUGCCUAAUACAUGCAAGUCGAGCGAACAGACGAGGAGCUUGCUCCUCUGACGUUAGCGGCGGACGGGUGAGUAACACGUGGAUAACCUACCUAUAAGACUGGGAUAACUUCGGGAAACCGGAGCUAAUACCGGAUAAUAUAUUGAACCGCAUGGUUCAAUAGUGAAAGACGGUUUUGCUGUCACUUAUAGAUGGAUCCGAGCCGCAUUAGCUAGUUGGUAAGGUAACGGCUUACCAAGGCAACGAUUCGUAGCCGACCUGAGAGGGUGAUCGGCCACACUGGCACUGAGACACGGUCCAGACUCCUACGGGAGGCAGCAGUAGGGAAUCUUCCGCAAUGGGCGAAAGCCUGACGGAGCACAGCCGCGUGAGUGCUGAAGGACUUCGGAUCGUAAAACUCUGUUAUUCGGGAAGAACAAAUGUGUAAGUACCCAUGCACGUCUUGACGGUACCUAAUCAGAAAGCCACGGCUAACCCCGUG
rnacentral:rRNA from 1 species